AGUCUGUUAGCUUAGUUGGUAGAGCCUCGUGCUAAUAACGCGAAGGUCGUGGGUUCUAUCCCCACAUGGAUCA